GAUGAACGCUGACAGAAUGCUUAACACAUGCAAGUCUACUUGAUUCUACUUCGGUAGUUGAUGGUGGCGGGCGGGUGAGUAACGCGUAAAGAAUCUGCCCUUUAGUUUGGGAUAACCUUUGGAAACGAAGGCUAAUACCGGAUAUUAUGGAGACGUCGCAUGACGACUCCAUGAAAGCUAUAUGCGCUAGAGGAGGACUUUGCGUCCCAUUAGUUAGUUGGUGAGGUAAUGGCUCACCAAGACCGCGAUGGGUAGCCGGCCUGAGAGGGUGAUCGGCCACAAGGUAACUGAGACACCGUCCUGACUCCUACGGGAGGCAGCAGUGGGGAAUAUUGGACAAUGGGCCACAAGACUGAUCCAGCAAUUCUGUGUGCACGAUGAAGGUCUUCGGAUUGUAAAGUGCUUUCAGUAGGGAAGAAAAAAAUGACGGUACCUACAGAAGAAGCGACGGCUAAAUAUGUGCCAGCCGCCGCCGUAA
rnacentral:rRNA from 1 species